UAGGGAAUCUUCCGCAAUGGGCGAAAGCCUGACGGAGCAACGCCGCGUGAGUGAAGAAGGAUUUCGGUUCGUAAAGCUCUGUUGCUAGGGAAGAAUGAUUGUGUAGUAACUAUACACAGUAGAGACGGUACCUAACCAGAAAGCCACGGCUAACUACGUGCCAGCAGCCGCGGUAAUACGUAGGUGGCAAGCGUUGUCCGGAAUUAUUGGGCGCAAAGCGCGCGCAGGUGGUUUAAUAAGUCUGAUGUGAAAGCCCACGGCUCAACCGUGGAGGGUCAUUGGAAACUGUUAAACUUGAGUGCAGGAGAGAAAAGUGGAAUUCCUAGUGUAGCGGUGAAAUGCGUAGAGAUUAGGAGGAACACCAGUGGCGAAGGCGGCUUUUUGGCCUGUAACUGACACUGAGGCGCGAAAGCGUGGGGAGCAAACAGGAUUAGAUACCCUGGUAGUCCACGCCGUAAACGAUGAGUGCUAAGUGUUGGUCUCAUAAGAGAUCAGUGCUGCAGCUAACGCAUUAAGCACUCCGCCUGGGGAGUACGACCGCAAGGUUG
rnacentral:rRNA from 1 species